GCCUGCGUAGCUCAAUCGGAUAGAGCGUCAGACUCUUAUCCAAGUAUCUGAAGGCUGCGAGUUCGACCCUCGCGGUGGGCU